GGAUUUACCUGACUCAGCGAUAGCCGUGAUUAAGGGAUUGGUCGCCUUUAGAGAUGCUUGAUACUGGAAGAACUGUGCAAAUUCUUUUGCAGAUACUGAGAUAGUUUUCUCAGAGGAAAAAGACACUAUAGGAAUUUCUGUUAUCAUAUUUGCCACCUGGGAUCGCUGAUUUCUCCUCUGAAGUUUCAAACAGUUACGUUUUGUGUGUCCAGGCUCAUGGCAAUAAUAACAA
rnacentral:misc_RNA from 1 species